UACGAAGGGGGCGAGCGUUGUUCGGAUUUACUGGGCGUAAAGGGCGCGCAGGCGGCCAUCUUUGUCAGGCGUGAAAGCCCCGGGCUUAACCUGGGAACUGCGCUUGGGACGGGGUGGCUAGAGAUCGGGAGAGGAGAGUGGAAUUCCCAGUGUAGAGGUGAAAUUCGUAGAUAUUGGGAAGAACACCGGUGGCGAAGGCGGCGUCUCUGGACCCGAUGACUGA
rnacentral:rRNA from 1 species